UUCUACUCUUGUUGCCAGGAUGAUGGAAAGU
rnacentral:piRNA from 1 species